ACAUAAUCUCUUCAUUUCAAUCUCUCUUCCUGAAACCUCUCUCAUCAGUUUCCUCUCUUCCCGUCAAACCACCUCUCUUCCUCCAUUUCUUCUCUUUGUUAAACCCUUUCCUCUCUUCCACCGUUUCAAUCACGCUUCCUUUCUUCAUCUACGAGUUUCCUCCAUCAAACCCUAAUCUUCUCUGUUUCUCCCUAAAUUUUCUCUGAAAAAAUUCCUAAUUUUUUUCAUCCCAAAAAAUUGUUCGAUUCUUCUUCAUCUUCGCCAUCAUGUGCCGUCAUGUUUUGAUAACCCCACCAUUGAUUCGCCACCUUUAGCCAUCGAUACACCACCUUCUUCAUUUGUGUCUUCGAUUCACCACCUUCUUCAUCUGUGCCAUCGAUUCUCCCUUGUCAGCCAUCGUAGGAGGCGCCACCGUGACCGAGGAGCUUAUUCGAGGUUUCAAGUUUUCCCGUUGCAGUUACCUCCAAAGCCUUUUUCCGGCCAGAAGUUAUCAGUGAACUCGAUCUGGCAAAGCACAGAUUGAAGCUUCUGAAGAGAAAUCCUUCGUCGUUUUCGCCUUGUCUGGAUGGUUCAAGAUAUUACAGCUUUGGGUUUGUCAUUUAUGGUUCUCUCUUUUCUUUUAUUGUACAUGAAUUUGUUUUUCUUAAUUUCAUUUAUAUUCUUGUCUCUACAAGUUCUAAUCAGGACAUUAUGGGGUAUUAUUCUUCAUGGUUUGAAAGUGAACAGUGUACAUUCAGAUGGAGAUAUGUGAUCAUAAUUUAUCCAAAUUCAAAGACUCUGAGUUAUUAUCAUAAGGACAACUCUUAGAAGUUUUAUAUCAGUUUCAGGUAAGAUUGGCUGCUGAUGCUAUAUUGCAAGAUGCGAGUGCUGAACGGAAGGAGAAAGUCUCAGCUUAAACUGCUGAUCGGAAACUCGAAAGUAUCUAUGUUUUAAUCUUUUAAGUCACCCUCCUUGAAAAUUAUUCAUUGUUUUUAUAUAUGAAAGGAAUGCAUGUUUAUCUAAUCAUCAUUUUAAUAUAUGAAAGGAAUCUGUAAGUUUCGUAGUUUUCUCUGCAAAAAGACGUUACCUUGGUAGAAACUAAGAGAAACAUAUCUGAUUGGCACAUAUGAUUGUGAAUUCUUCUAAACUUGGGAGCCUUUAUUGUGAAAGACUUGUCUUUUCUGUGUCAUAUAGAGUCUGGACCUGAUGAGAGAAGUACCCCUGGUAAUACUGUUUCUAUCCAAGCAGACAUGCCAAUUAGCGGACUUACGACUUUUGUAGGUUGUUCCACAUAUCACAGAUGCCAUCCAAGUGUGGAUAGAGCGUGUAGCGAAAACUGCGGUUUAUGGAAAAGAAGAAUUGAGUGGUAUAUAAGAUAUAGUAUUAGUGUAAAGGUGUAUUGAAACAUUUAAAUUCUACUAUUCUUAACACCACUUUAUUUUAUAAUGAUAUUAUCAACUACGUGCAAAUCUUGGUAUCUUUUAUGAACAUCCUAAAUUGCAAUUCUAUUUCACAAUCUGUCAUUUGUAUAAGGCUUUUUUCCAUGUGCCCUUCAAAGAAUAACUUAAGGUUUGUUCAUGUCUUAUCUCCAUCUUUGUAUUCUUAUCUCCAUUUCACUUUAUAUCUCCCUGUAUAUUUUUUAUCUACGAGUAAUAUUCUUGAUCUGCAGCUUGCUAGGAAGUGGAACCAUUUAAUUGAUGUUGCGCUUCUUGAGGAGUAACUCCAUCAGAUGCUUCGAGAGUGGAUAGCCAGGAUCAAUCUCUUUUGCAAAGGCAUAUGGAAAAGACGCUCGCAUCCAUGAAUGUGAAAUAUCAGAAGAAAGUGGUAACAUUCAAGUCAGAUCCACUAAGUUUAUUCAAUUUUUAAAAUCAUAUUAUGUGUUUGUGGAAAUUUUUAGUGAGUUUUAUUAUUGUUAUCAUUAUUGCAUAAGGACACAUUUUUGGUGGCAAGAUAGCUCUAUAAAUUUAUAAAAUCUGAAGUUUGAACAGAGCAAUCCAUUUUCUGUUUGUGAUAAUUACCUUUUAACUCAUCUAUCAUGAAAAGAUACACUUUUUUUUUGCUGUAGCAUGAUAAAGUUUUAUGUAGAGAUUGAAGCUCACACUUGGAGGCAAUGGUUUUCUCUUGGCACUACCUUCCUAUUUUAGAUCUAGUUUAUUUUAUAUGAAUAGUUAUAGUAUUUUAUGUGAUAAUGGAAGCAUAUAUGUUUUAUCACUGUCCUUAUGAUUAUUCUUUACUUAUUUUUUCUUGCUUUCAAAUUUAAUCACUUCACAUAGUUAACUUCUUUUUUUGUUAAUUGCAUAAAUAAAUGGCUCAAUAACAAAUAACAUUUGUUAAUUCUGGCAACGAAAGUAAGUAAAUCUUUAUCUACCAUAAGGUGCAUUUUUAUUUCUAGUUGACUCACAUGAUCUAUUAGUAACUAGAGAAGAGAAGACAGCUAUGGAAACUUGUUGGUUGGUAGGUAGAAAAUUGAUUUUGUUAUUUUAUGUUUCUUAUAAAUAACAUAUCUUUUGUUCUAAACUUGAGUGGUAAAGGAUUUUGGUUUGUUUAGAACUUGUUCAUUUUCUUUUGUUUGUUUAGAACUUGUUCAUUUUCUUUUUCUUUUUUAGAACUUGUUUAUCAUCAUUAUAUUAUAGUUUGACUAUUGUCUUGUUGUUUAUGUAGGCAAAUCUUGUUUACAAUAUGAAAAUUUUCCUGUACUGGAUCCAAAAUUUGUGUAAUAGUUGAUCAUGACAAGUAAUACAAACUUCAGUAAUCUAACUUUUAUAAAACACUAACAGUUUAAUGUGAUUAUCUAUGAUGGCUCAUGUGUAUUGAUGACUGAGUAUCUAUGACUGGGUAUUAUGAAUGAGUUGUGUUUCCAGCAAUAGAGCCGAAUACUUUUCUGGAGGAAAUAGAACUAAUCUUUGAGCAUUUCAUUUUUUUAUCAGUAAUUUCAGAUCAACAUUAUUCCAUUGUAAGUGUUUUAGUUUCUUUGUUUAUUAUCUUGCUCAUAAACUACAACUCAUUCUGCUAGAGAUUAUAACAGCUUUCUCACAAACUACUUCAAAGAAUCACGUCCUCAAGCUGAAAAAAUCAUUCUUCAGGUAUUGCAAGAAUGAGUUGGAAGAAGGAUGGACAAUUGCAUGAAUUAGUUGGAAAAAUAUGGACAAAACACUAUCUCACAAUAGGACUGAUUUCAAUUUUGAAUAAGUCGUAAUAAUAUUAUAGAUUUGAAUAUUUCUAAAUAUUAUAAUAGUUAAUUUUAUUUAAUAUGAUAGUUGAGUGAUAAUUAACUACAAAUUUUAAAUUGUGAAUGAUUUUAGUGUGGGCCAGUAAAAUAAAUAAAUUUUCAUAGAUUUUUUGGGCUUAAAAUCAAAUUGAACUAGUAACUUGUUAACCGAAAAAAACGGAUAUUGUUAACCGAACCAUUCUAAUCCGAACUCGAAAAAACCGAUAAAAAAAGCGGUCAGAAUUUGGGCCCAACCAUCUCACCCGUGGAUUGGUUCGGUUCUGUAGUUUGGGCCCGAAUUCGAACCGAACCGAACCGUUGUCCACCCCUAGUGGCUAUAUCUUGAACCAAAACUGUAUGGUAAACGUUAAAUUGAAACAGUGGCUUACCAUAUGGCCACAGUUCUGUAAUCGUGACAAAUAUAAACCGUGGCCUUAAUCAAACUACCUAAAUUGUGGCCUAUAAAAGCCACGGUUGUUAAAAAAGCGUGGUAUAUACCAAAAAACCGUGGACUAUACUUUAGGUCACGGCCGCAUAUCCCACAGUUGGAUUUUCGUGGCCAAACCGUGGCCUCAGCGUUACGCCACAGUUAUUUUGCAUAUAGCCUCGGUUUCUUGGGCGUGGCAGGAGACCUUUUUUUUGUAGUGGUUGAGGUGAAUAUUGACUCAAAGGAGGUGGUCAUCGCCAUUGAAGAAGGGACAACAUGAGUCGUUGAGUGUGUCGCUAUCCUUCGUAAGAUUAAGGAUAUCAUGGGUCUUCAUGAGAUCGUUGUCAUUUCACAUGCUUAUAAAUCCACUAAUAUGUGUGCGGAUGCUCUUUCUAAGU